UUUUAGCCCUGAUUGAAGCGACAUCCUUUUUUGAUUUUUCUCAAAAAAGAUAUAGCGGAAAGCAGGAAGUCGC
rnacentral:sRNA from 1 species